CAUUCGACUCCCACCCUUUGUGACACAUCCUGUUGCUUCGGGGGCGACCCUGCCGCUCGCGGCACUCCCCCCGGAGGUCAUCCAAACACUGCAUUCUUACGUCGGAGUAUAAAGUUAAUUUAAUAAAACUUUCAACAACGGAUCUCUUGGUUCUGGCAUCGAUGAAGAACGCAGCGAAAUGCGAUAAGUAAUGUGAAUUGCAGAAUUCAGUGAAUCAUCGAAUCUUUGAACGCACAUUGCGCCCCCUGGUAUUCCGGGGGGCAUGCCUGUUCGAGCGUCAUUUCACCACUCAAGCCUCGCUUGGUAUUGGGCGUCGCGGGUCCCCCGCGCGCCUCAAAGUCUCCGGCUGAGCGGUUCGUCUCCCAGCGUUGUGGCAACUAUUUCGCAGCGGAGUUCGAGUCGUCGCGGCCGUUAAAUCUUUCAAAGG
rnacentral:misc_RNA from 1 species